CAAGAAUAGAUGAAAGAGACAGAAAAUUAACAAGAAUAUAAAGGACUUGAUCUCAGCUCUGGACUAAGUGGACUUAAUAGACAUCUACAGAACUCUCUACCCCAAAUCAACAGAAUAUACAUUCUUCUCAGCACCACAUAGCACUUAUUCUAAAAUCGACGACAUAAUUGGAAGUAAAACACUCCUCAGCAAAUG